rfam:Serendipita vermifera MAFF 305830 unplaced genomic scaffold scaffold_38, whole genome shotgun sequence.
GGCCGUUUAGCUCAGCUGGUUAGAGCGCCGAGCUAAUAUUGUAACUCGGAGGUCUUGGGUUCGAUCCCCACAAUGGCCA